rnacentral:rRNA from 1 species
UACGUAGGUGGCAAGCGUUGUCCGGAAUUACUGGGCGUAAAGGGCGUGUAGGUGGUCAAACAAGUCAGGUGUGAAACCCCAGGGCUUAACCUUGGGCAUGCAUAAGAAACUGCAGGACUUGAGGGCAAGAGAGGAGAGUGGAAUUCCCAGUGUAGCGGUGAAAUGCGUAGAUAUUGGGAGGAACACCAGUGGCGAAGGCGACUCUCUGGUCUGCACCUGACGCUGAAUCGCGAAAGCGUGGGGAGCAAACGGG